rnacentral:rRNA from 1 species
AGCGAACGCUGGCGGCAGGCUUAACACAUGCAAGUCGAGCGGGCACUUUCGGGUGUCAGCGGCGGACGGGUGAGUAACGCGGGGGAACGUGCCCUCCGGUUCGGAAUAACUCAGGGAAACUUGAGCUAAUACCGGAUACGCCCUUUUGGGGAAAGGCUUGCUGCCGGAGGAUCGGACGGCGUCUGAUUAGCUGGUUGGUGAGGUAACGGCUCACCAAGGCGACGCUCAGUAGCUGGUCUGAGAGGAUGAUCAGCCACACUGGGACUGAGACACGGCCCAGACUCCUACGGGAGGCAGCAGUGGGGAAUAUUGGACAAUGGGCGCAAGCCUGAUCCAGCCCUGCCGCGUGAGUGAUGAAGGCAUUAGGGUUGUAAAGCUCUUUUAUCCGGGACGCUCAUGACGGUACCGGAGGAAUAAGCCCCGGCUAACUUCGUG